rnacentral:rRNA from 1 species
UACGUAGGGUGCAAGCGUUAUCCGGAAUUAUUGGGCGUAAAGAGCUCGUAGGCGGUUUGUCGCGUCUGCUGUGAAAACUGGAGGCUCAACCUCCAGCCUGCAGUGGGUACGGGCAAACUAGAGUGCGGUAGGGGAGAUUGGAAUUCCUGGUGUAGCGGUGGAAUGCGUAGAUAUCAGGAGGAACACCGGUGGCGAAGGCGGGUCUCUGGGCCGUUACUGACGCUGAGGAGCGAAAGCGUGGGGAGCGAACAGG